ensembl:lncRNA
AACAAACUAAGGGGACUGGUAAGGGAAGUGGACUGGGCAAACGUAUUAAUGAAUCUUAAGGCAGAUAAAGCCUGGGAUUACUUUAGGUUAAAGAUGCAUGAGCUGUCAGAGGCCUGUAUCCCAAAAAAGGGAAAAAGAUUACUAAGCAAGAGAUUUAGACCGAGCUGGAUGAGUGACCGACUCAAAGGGGCGAUUAGGAAGAAACAGAAAGCAUACAAAGAGUGGAAGAGGGGAGGGAUCAGUAAGGAAACUUACCUUAGUGAAGUUAGAGAAUGUAGAGAUAGAGUGAGAAAGGCCAAAAGCCGUGUAGAGUUGGACCUAGCGAGGGGAAUUAAAAGCAAUAGUAAGAGGUUUUACAGCCAUAUAAAUAGGAAGAAAGCAAAGAAGGAAGAAGUAGGACCACUGAAGACUAUAGCCGGAGAGGAGAUUAAAGAUAAUCUAGGCAUGGCGCAAUAUCUCAACGAAUAUUUUGCAUCGGUGUUUAAUGAGGCCAAUGAAGGUAUUAGGGAUACUAGCACCAUUACAGAGGGGCAAACAGAAUGGGGGAUUACCGUAUCCGAGGUAGAAACAAAGCUCGAACGCCUUAAUGGGGCUAAGUCGGGAGGACCGGAUGAUCUUCAUCCGAGAAUAUUGAAGGAAUUAGCGCGGGAAAUAGCAAGCCCAUUAGCGAUAAUAUUUAAUGAAUCUGUAAACUCGGGGGUGGUUCCGUUAGACUGGAGAAUAGCUAAUGUGGUUCCUAUUUUCAAGAAAGGGAAAAAAAGUGAUCCGGGUAACUACAGGCCUGUUAGUUUAACAUCGGUAGUGUGCGAGGUGCUGGAGAAAAUUCUGAAAGAGAAACUAGUUGAGGACCUUGAGGUUAAUGGCAAGUGCGAUAAAUUACAACAUGGUUUUACGAAGGGCAGAUCAUGCCAAACGAAUCUGAUCUCCUUCUUCAAGAAAGUAACGGACUUAUUAGAUAAGGGAAAUGCGGUGGACCUAAUAUACCUGGAUUUCAGUAAAGCGUUUGAUACUGUACCCCAUGAGGAAUUANNNNNNNNNNNNNNNNNNN